rnacentral:rRNA from 1 species
UACGUAGGCAGCAAGCGUUGUUCGGAGUUACUGGGCGUAAAGGGUGUGUAGGCGGUUGGUUAAGUUUGGUGUGAAAUCUCCCGGCUCAACUGGGAGGGUGCGCCGAAUACUGAGUGACUCGAGUGCGGGAGAGGAAAGUGGAAUUCCAGGUGUAGCGGUGAAAUGCGUAGAUAUCUGGAGGAACACCGGUGGUGUAGACGGCUUUCUGGACCGUAACUGACGCUGAGACACGAAAGCGUGGGGAGCAAACAGG